AUACUUACCUGGGAGGGGAGAUUCCAUGAUCACAAAGGUGGUUUUCCCAGAGCAAGGCUCACCCAUUGCACUCUGAGUGUGCUGACCCCUGCCAUUUCCCAAAUGUGGGAAACCCAACUGCAUGAUUUGUGGUAGUGAGGGACUGUGUUUGCGCUCUCCCUGU